rnacentral:rRNA from 1 species
CCUACGGGAGGCAGCAGUGGGGAAUAUUGCACAAUGGGGGAAACCCUGAUGCAGCGACGCCGCGUGAGUGAAGAAGUAAUUCGUUAUGUACAGCUCUAUCAGCAGGGAAGAAAAUGACGGUACCUGAGUAAGACGCCCCGGCUAACUACGUGCCAGCCGCCGCGGUAAUACGUAGGGGGCAAGCGUUCUCCGGAUUUACUGGGUGGAAAGGGAGCGUAGACGGCAGUGCAAGUCUGGAGUGAAAGGCGGGGGCUCAACCCCCGGACUGCUCUGGAAACUGUAAGGCUGGAGUGCAGGAGAGGGAAGUGGAAUUCCUAGUGUAGCGGUGAAAUGCGUAGAUAUUAGGAGGAACACCAGUGGCGAAGGCGGCUUACUGGACUGUAACUGACGUUGAGGCUCGAAAGCGUGGGGAGCAAACAGGAUUAGAUACCCCAGUAGUC